rnacentral:rRNA from 1 species
UACGUAGGGUGCGAGCGUUAAUCGGAAUUACUGGGCGUAAAGGCGUGCGCAGGCGGUUCGUUAUGUCCGAUGUGAAAGCCCCGAGCUCCAACUUGGGAAUGGCAUUGGAAACUGGGCAGGCUAGAGUGCGGGAGAGGAGAGUGGAAGUUCCUGGUGUAGCGGUGAAAUGCGCAGAUAGUCAGGAAGAACACCCGUGGCGAAGGCGGCUCUCUGGAAGCGCAACUGACGCUGAGACGCGAAAGCGUGGGGAGCAAAGCAGG